CAUUGGGCACAAACUGCUGGUUUGCUGGGAGUGAAGCCACUUCAUGAUGCAGUGAAUGUGAAAACAGUGAGAGCACUGACCCCAAACUGACAAUCAUCACCAGGAGUCUUGCAGUCCGGACAGCUGGCGUCAAAUGGCAUUCGACAAAUUCCACAAUUGUCAUCAUUAGCAAUCCAUCUCCAAGUUGCAACGCCUGUCCAGCCUUAGAAAUAUAAAUAAUUGAAUAAAUAAAAUAGAUUUACGAUGUACAACAAUCAUUUUAUCUUUAGCAACUAUUUUUGUUGGUUAGGAGAACCUUUUAACGAUGAAAUUUAAUUAAAAACACUCACUUUUGACGAUCACCUUCAUGUUAUUAAUGAUUUGGUCAAAAUGAUUUGUUAUCUAAUUAACAGAACUAUCGAUGAAACAAAGAAAUACAAUUUUCGUGAACAAAUUAAGUUUUUGUGGUGAAAUACUACGAAGAAACUUGUAGCUGUUUAUCCUCCUGUAUGUACCCAUGCUACCAACGUGAUCAAAUGAAAUCUCUCUGUAAUAUUUGAUUCAAAAAAGGAUGAAUAAAUACUGAUUUGCAUUUAUAAAAAA